CUCGGGACUGCCUACUUCCUGUUGCCGGGAUAUGUAUUCCCCUUCCACUUGCAUUCGGUACACAAGAUUAUCAAUAAUGGUGAGCUGCUUAGCUCGCCUCCUACGGAGCUUUCAGGUCCUUUGUGUCUCACCAGUCUUGUGCCAAGCGUCUUGUCCAUCCUAAUGUUGGGAAAAGGACUGGAGACCUUUGUCUGGACCUGCUAUUAAUCAGUAAGCAGGCAAAAAAUUUAUUAUUGCAGAGCUUCUUGUCCAUUCACAGGAGGUGAAUACCCACUUAUUAAGUACUGCCAUUAUAGAACAGGAAAAUAACAGUCUAUUAAAAUAACCUUUUCCUGAUGGGAAACUACAAAUUCUACUGUACAUAAGAAAGGCCUGUAUUUCACAUACCCGUCUAGCAGACACGAAAACAAACAGAAAGGUCGUCUAAAAAGUCAAAACGGUCGGUGAACAGUGAUCCAUGAAUUCAAAAAUGUUUGUCACAUUAAACACCUAGGUGGUCAAAUUUUCCAUGUGGCUUUAAAGAACCUCCCAAUUAAAGAUUUAGAAGCCAAAGUUUGAAUGAGAAAGUAGCCGAGAUUUGACACAUGUACCUUCCGAGUGGUAUAGA